AAGAAGAAAACAUUUCGUAGGCUGGCGACAGGAAAUAUAUUUAGAAGGAACGAUAACGGGGCCAACAUUUUGCGUCAGAUUUGUUGCGAAGCAAAGUUGGCUGAGAUAAGUCAAAGUGAGCUAAAUGGCGUUUCAGUGAGCAGACAGUUUGGCAGCUUUGAACGACAUCCCAAGAUAAACUUAUUUUCGGGUUUUGUGAACCAGGCAGGGAGGCACGUGAACUCGAAUGCUAUACAAUUCUACGUUUUGAUUCUUCCAUGACGUUACACGUUCCAGCCAGACCCCAAUUAUCCAUAGAAAGAAAAAGAAUGGGUGACUGAAAUUUUAAAAGGAAGGUUGAUGCGAUGCGAUGUCUCUACGUUCGACCUUUCAUGCUGCACACAGAAAACGAAUGGAUUCGACUUUUCAAAAAUAAAAAGAACGUACACAAGACUGGCCUUGGCUUGAUCUUGGACUCUUGCAUGAUGAAUGUGUAUACGGUUGUAACU